AUGACUGGCCUGGGGGUUUCGGAAGUGUUUGCGGUAGACAAUGAGAUCAGCGCCUUGGUGUGCGGUCCAAAAAAGAAAACCCUCGAGGCCCAGGGCAGGCAGGCUAAGGAUAUGGACGGGGAAUCGACACGAGGAGGAGAUGAGAGGAUAUUGAAGUCGGUUUGUUUCUCAAUGUUUUCUCAGAUCGGCUACAACUCGGCGUGGACCGUUCAACACAUGCAGUCACAAAAGGUCGAUGUCAACGCGGGAGGCUGUCUUCUCUUGAAUGAGCCAUUACAGUAUUCCUACCUUGAGAAAUGUGUAAUUUAAGAGGGUCCACCACAUUGUCUGCCUCUUCAGUCCAGGGUGCAUUGCAUGGUGCCAUUGCAUGGCCAUUGUGAAUGUCAGACUCCACUCUGAGGCACAUCGAUCUGCAGGUUGAACAUGGUGAGAUUGUAGUCUCCAUGGCCAUUGUGAAUGUCAGACUCCACUCUGAGGCACAUCGAUCUGCAGGUUGAACAUGGUGAGAUUGUAGUCUCCUAAAUGGAUUGUGCAGUUUGUUUAGGCUAUUUUACAGCCAACUAGCUACUUCACAUGCUGAUAAUGCACUUUGGUAUUAUUGUGUGUAGCUACGUUUGCUAGCUAUAUAGCUAGCCAGCCAGCAAAAAGAGCAUUGCAUUGUGGGUUUUGUUGUUGAUUUGAGCUGCAACAGAUUUCCACAACAAUUUUCAUGUUGCUCCCGACCUUAUUAUAACAAUAAAAAUAAACAUUUGUUCACAAAAUAUGUUGUUCUCACAUAUAAGUGUUAUUUAGCACUGUAAAUGAUAGGAAUUAGUGGUUUUGGUGGAUCUUUCUUUUAACCCUAACUUUAACCCAUAGCCUAGCUAACAUUAGCCACCUAGCUAACGUUAGCCACAACAAAUUGGAAUUCGUAACAUACGUAUUGCAAAUUCGUAACAUACGUAUUGCAAAUUCGUAACAUAUCAUACGAAUUGUAAAUCAGAACAUAUACGAAAUGGAUGAUGGACUUCCACAAAUUAAUACUUAUCAUACUAAUACGAGCAUCUCGGAUGUUUGUUUACUAUGUUACAUCUACCCCCGAGUCUAGGUUGGAGGGGUGGUAUGUGAGGAGAGGGGGAAUUCUUGUGUGUUUUGGAAUGCGAUUACCCAGGGGAGAACCCAUGACUGAAAAGAGGGAGAGAAGGGGCCAGAAGGAAGAAUGAGGCAAGUUCUGAAAGGACUACACACAUUCCUCGGCUUCCUCAUUAGUUCUAAAUGGCAUUUGGGUUGCUGACAUGUUGUUUUGUUUUCACAUGAUACUGUCUAUGCUGAUGGAUCUGCUGACUGACAGCCCAGUGUCCAAGGGAAAGUAGUCAGAUGACGAAGACUAACUAGGCUACUAGCGCACUCACCUAUUUUACACCAAAACUACUGUUUCUUUCACAUAAAUAGAAAAAAAGCACAUGAUUAUGCUACCACCAGCACAUUUCUUUGUUUGCACUGCAGCAUUGUAGAUAUAGCCUGAGCCUAAUGUAAAAUGCGUUCACAGUUAUAGGUUAGUUUGGAUUUCUAGCCUGUUUUUUUUCCCAAUCCUUUCCAACAGGUAGAGAGGUAUGGUAGGCUACAGAGCUACAGGUGUAGGUUAUUAAUUUGACCAGUUUCUCACAACAGGAAAAUAAUCCUGCAGCAACAGGAAAUUUAAAUUAUUGUGUGGAUUAUAAUUAAAGGACAUGUUUGUAGGUGUUGAUACAAACUUUAGAAGUAUUUUUAAACUGUGAACACACUACAUGUUUGCAUUUCCUUGGACAACAUGGUGGUCAAAUUAAGAUCCUACACCUGGUUUUCGCUAAGGGUCUAAAUACCUGACAAUGGAAUCUCCUAAAUAUUCCAACUAUCCACUGUCAUAAAGAAGGUAGACAAAAUGUACAUUUUAUCAA
rnacentral:lncRNA from 13 species